GACGAACGCUGGCGGCGUGCUUAACACAUGCAAGUCGAACGGAAAGGCCCUGCUUUUGUGGGGUGCUCGAGUGGCGAACGGGUGAGUAACACGUGAGUAACCUGCCCUUGACUUUGGGAUAACUUCAGGAAACUGGGGCUAAUACCGGAUAGGAGCUCCUGCUGCAUGGUGGGGGUUGGAAAGUUUCGGCGGUUGGGGAUGGACUCGCGGCUUAUCAGCUUGUUGGUGGGGUAGUGGCUUACCAAGGCUUUGACGGGUAGCCGGCCUGAGAGGGUGAGCGGCGACAGUGGGGCUGAGAUACGGCACAGACUCCUACGGGAGGCAGCAGUGGGGAAUAUGGCACAAGGGGCGGAAGCCUGAUGAAGCAACUCCGCGUGCGGGAUGACGGCCUUCGGGUUGGAAACAGCGUUCGCCGGUGACGAAGAGGGAGUGACGGUAAUGGGUAAAGAAGCACCGGCUAACUACGUG
rnacentral:rRNA from 1 species